UCUAUAUUUUUAUGUGAUUCCCGACAUUUAAGAACUUCCCAUAAUUAUUCAGGUACUGUUUGUAAAACUUUCAGAUGAUUGGAUAACUUUCAAAAUCCUAGUUACUACAUAUUGUUCGCAGAUCGGUUUGGCCUCCUAUUCAACUUUAUCAAACGAUUUGAAUAUUUAUAGCAGUGUAGAAUAUUCGUUACGUAUUGACUCCAAGCUCCAUAUUCUGGACGGUCACAGAAAUGUGCGUGUACUUAUGAAUUUUCACUACGUCUACUUAUCUGAAUGUUUGACCGACUGGGUACCCGGGAGAUUUAAAAAGAUGCUUGUAUUCAAAAAAUGCAGUGUCAGUAUUCUGUUUCAAUGCCAUAAGGACGUGAAUUUCUAAGUUCCUUGCGCGCAUACACAAAACUCUAUACAGGGUUAAAUAAUGAUUCCUUCGAAAGUUCCGCCCUGAGAGUGCCGCUUGAGCUGUCGUCGAUUCUGUGUAGGUGAUCUGGUAAUAACGAUGCGCUGCAUCAGUUGUUUCCGUUGACAUGUCCUGUUCAGCAUGGGUUGACAGGGUCUGUAAGAGAGCUGCAGUCACAGCUGAAACCAUCGCUGUCGAGGGACGUCUGUGCGGUAGACGAUUACGGCGACGUGCGUAAGUUCGUGUUUGGGCUGUUUGUUAGCGGACCUCACUGCAAUUGUAGUAGAAGCAGAAUGCUAGCGUUAACGGAGUCGCUUACUGCUACGACGGACCAAAUGCGGGACGAACGAAUCGCACAGGGAGAUCUUUGACCCAGCACAAUGGAAUUGCAUGGGGACAAUUUCACCAAGCAAAAAUACGUUCUGACGGACCGAGACGUAAACGCCAGCUUCGAUUGUGAACCUGCUUUAACGGUAGCGGCAACAGUUAGCGCGGUUGGAUGUCAUCAAAGGUGCUGCUUUUUUGUCAGCGUAAGGCUUGCCUUUCAACAUCGUCGUUGAGUGCCUUUUGUCAUGGAAUGAUGCCAAAAGAAUCGCCUCUAUGAGGAGAAAAAGCUAAUCUACUGGACAGAUAGUCGUUUUUACUAGCAGUCAACUGUAAUUUUAAAUUGCAGAACGUGUUGAUAAGUGCGUACCAGUACUUAGACGUAACUAAAUGUUCUAGAGUCCUAAGAACACAAUUAUAUUAGUCAAUAUCUCGAAUAUUUUUCCAUAAACAUAUACUAUUAGAAUUACUGUUAGUAAGUACUGUUUACACAAAUUACGUGAACUUAUAUAUAUGUAUAUAUACGGAAGGAAGAUACCGUGAAUCCCAUAAAGGAGAUUUUCUGGAACUACAAUAAAUCGUAACCUGCGCUCAUCUUUUGACCCAAAGUCGACCCAAUGAAACGCACAUUUGCUUCGACUGAGUGCAAAACACAGGAGAUUUCGCAGGGGUCACGAUACCCCACAGUCGAGAUAAAGACCGGCCAAGGCCGCCGGUAUAAGCAGCAGUGAUAACACCAAGCAGGACAGAUAACAUCGUGUUCCCGGAAGCUUUUCCUAUUAGCUUAUUAUGCCAGCGCACUUCAAUUGACGCCAUCUGAAAAAUGAGUGCGCUCAUGAACGUUCUACAUGAGGCCUACCAGGUCCCAUCGAGUUCCACGAAUAGAGGAAUCGCUAGCUUCGCCCGAUCCCCGAGCCUCGGCCGCGAUCGGUAAACCCGCGAUCAACUCGUGCGCCGUCAACAGUUCGGUUCGCUUAAUAAAUGACAGUACGUGAAGUUGCACCUAGGACUAGAGGAUUAGGUGGCGAUUCCUAUUGUUCCAAACGCUGUUACCAA